AGUGAACGCUGGCGGUAGGCCUAACACAUGCAAGUCGAACGGCAACACAGUAAGAGCUCGCCCCUACGGUUGGCGAGUGGCGGACGGGUGACGAAUACAUCGGAUUCUACUUUGUCUGGGGGGAUAACGGAGGGACACUGCUGCUACUACCGCAUACAUCGUACGGGAGGGAGCAAGAGUGCAACGCACCUUGCGCGACUGUUAGAGCCGAUGUCGCAUUGGCUAGUUGGCGGGGUAAGGGCCCACCAAGGCGACGCUCCGUAGCCGGCCUGAGAGGAUGAUCAGCCACACUGGAACUGAGACACGGUCCAGACUCCUACGGGAGGCAGCAGUGGGGAAUCUUCCGCAAUGGGCGCAAGCCUGACCGAGCCAUGCCGCGUGGGUGAAGAAGGCCUUCGGGUUGUAAAGCCCUUUUGUUGGGAAAGAAAAGCAGCAGAUUAAACCCCCGCUGUUCUGACGGUACCCAAAGAAUAAGCCCCGGCUAACUUCGUG
rnacentral:rRNA from 1 species